AAUCAGAGAGCCACCAAAACUCACAGACCAGGCAAAGAGGGCAUUCAUCAGAGAGCCACCAAAACUCACAGACCAGGCAAAGAGGGCAUUAAUCAGAGAGCCACCAAAACUCACAGACCAGGCAAAGAGGGCAUUAAUCAGAGAGCCACCAAAACUCACAGACCAGGCAAAGAGGGCAUUAAUCAGAGAGCCACCAAAACUCACAGACCAGGCAAAGAGGGCAUUCAUCAGAGAGCCACCAAAACUCACAGACCAGGCAAAGAGGGCAUUAAUCAGAGAGCCACCAAAACUCACAGACCAGGCAAAGAGGGCAUUAAUCAGAGAGCCACCAAAACUCACAGACCAGGCAAAGAGGGUAUUCAUCAGAGAGCCUCCAAAGAGAACAAAGAUAACCCUGAAGGAGCUGCAAAGCUCCACAGCGGAGAUUGGAGUAUCAGUUCAUAGUACCACUUUAAGCCGUACACUCCACAGAGCUGGGCUUUACAGAAGAGUGUCCAGAAAAAAUAAGCAAACAUGUUUGGUGUUCGCCAAAAGGCAUGUGGGAGACUUCCCAAACAUAUGGAAGAAGGUACUUUGGUCAGAUGAGACUAAAAGUUAACUUUUUGGCCAUCAAGGAAAAUGCUAUGUCUGGCGCAAACACAAUACUUCUCAUCACCCCCAAGACACCAUCACAGUGAAGCAUGGUGGGGAUGUUUUUCAUCGGCAGAGAAUGGGAAAAUGGUCAGAAUUGGUCAGUCGUCCGGAGAGUUGAGACUGGGACGGAGGUUCACCUUCCAGCAGGACAAUGACCCUAAGCAUACUGCUAAAGCAACACUCGAGUGGUUUAAGGGGAAAUAUUUAAAUGUCUUGGAAUGGCCUAGUCAAAGCCCAGACCUCAAUCCAAUUGAGAAUCUGUGUUAUGACUUAAAGAUUGCUGUAGACCAGCAGAACCCAUCCAACUUGAAGGAGCUGGAUGGGUUCUCGAAGGAGCUUAUUUCUUGUUUGUUUCACAAUAAAACAUAUUUUCCCUCUUCAUAGUGGCAUGUUGUGUAAAUCAAAUGAUACAAACCCCCCACAAAUACAUUUUAAUUCCAGGUUGAAAGGCAACAAGAUAGGAAAAAUGCCAAGAAGGGUGAAUACUUUCGUAAGCUACUGUAUCUCUCUCUCUCUCUCUCUCUCUCUCUCUCUCUCUCUCUCUGUCUGUCUGUCUGUCUGUCUGUCUGUCUGUCUGUCUGUCUGUCUGUCUGUCUGUCUGUCUGUCUGUCUGUCUGUCUGUCUGUCUGUCUGUCUGUCUGUCUGUCUCUCUCUCUCUCUCUCUGUCUGUCUGUCUGUCUGUCUGUCUGUCUGUCUGUCUGUCUGUCUGUCUGUCUGUCUGUCUGUCUGUCUGUCUGUCUGUCUGUCUGUCUGUCUGUCUGUCUGUCUGUCUGUCUGUCUGUCUGUCUGUCUGUCUGUCUCUCUCUCUCUCUCUCUCUCUCUCUCUCUCUCUGUCUGUCUGUCUGUCUGUCUGUCUGUCUGUCUGUCUGUCUGUCUGUCUGUAAACAAAAGUGAAAUAAACAAUAAAUAAUAAACAAUAACACAAAAGUUCCAAAAGAAUAAAGACAUUUCAAAUGUCAUAUUAUGUACAAAUGGUUAAAGUACACAAGGGAAAAUAAAUAAGCAUACAUAUGGGUUGUAUAUUUUGUUAAUAUUGUUAAUAUUGGGUCAGUCACAGUGCUCAGGUAUUCUACCACUGUGUCCUCUCUGUUUAGGGUCAGUCACAGUGGUCAGGUAUUCUGUCACUGUGUACUCUCUGUUUAGGGUCAGUCACAGUGGUCAGGUAUUCUGUCACUGUGUACUCUCUGUUUAGGGUCAGUCACAGUGGUCAGGUAUUCUGCCACUCUCUGUUUAGGGUCAGUCACAGUGGUCAGGUAUUCUGCCACUCUCUGUUUAGGGUCAGUCACAGUGGUCAGGUAUUCUGCCACUCUCUGUUUAGGGUCAGUCACAGUGGUCAGGUAUUCUGCCACUCUCUGUUUAGGGUCAGUCACAGUGGUCAGGUAUUCUGCCACUCUCUGUUUAGGGUCAGUCACAGUGGUCAGGUAUUCUGCCACUCUCUGUUUAGGGUCAGUCACAGUGGUCAGGUAUUCUACCACUCUCUGUUUAGGGUCAGUCACAGUGGUCAGGUAUUCUACCACUCUCUGUUUAGGGUCAGUCACAGUGGUCAGGUAUUCUACCACUCUCUGUUUAGGGUCAGUCACAGUGCUCAGGUAUUCUGCCACUCUCUGUUUAGGGUCAGUCACAGUGGUCAGGUAUUCUGCCACUGUGUACUCUCUGUUUAGGGUCAGUCACAGUGGUCAGGUAUUCUGCCACUGUGUACUCUCUGUUUAGGGUCAGUCACAGUGCUCAGGUAUUCUGCCACUGUGUCCUCUCUGUUUAGGGUCAGUCACAGUGUUCAGGUAUUCUGCCACUCUCUGUUUAGGGUCAGUCACAGUGCUCAGGUAUUCUGCCACUCUCUGUUUAGGGUCAGUCACAGUGGUCAGGUAUUCUGCCACUCUCUGUUUAGGGUCAGUCACAGUGCUCAGGUAUUCUGCCACUCUCUGUUUAGGGUCAGUCACAGUGCUCAGGUAUUCUGCCACUCUCUGUUUAGGGUCAGUCACAGUGCUCAGGUAUUCUGCCACUCUCUGUUUAGGGUCAGUCACAGUGCUCAGGUAUUCUGCCACUGUGUUCUCUCUGUUUAGGGUCAGUCACAGUGCUCAGGUAUUCUGCCACUCUCUGUUUAGGGUCAGUCACAGUGCUCAGGUAUUCUGCCACUGUGUCCUCUCUGUUUAGGGUCAGUCACUGUGCUCAGGUAUUCUGCCACUGUGUUCUCUCUGUUUAGGGUCAGUCACAGUGCUCAGGUAUUCUGCCACUGUGUUCUCUCUGUUUAGGGUCAGUCACAGUGCUCAGGAAUUCUGCCACUGUGUUCUCUCUGUUUAGGGUCAGUCACAGUGGUCAGGUAUUCUGCCACUCUCUGUUUAGGGUCAGUCACAGUGGUCAGGUAUUCUGCCACUGUGUUCUCUCUGUUUAGGGUCAGUCACAGUGCUCAGGUAUUCUGCCACUGUGUUCUCUCUGUUUAGGGUCAGUCACAGUGCUCAGGUAUUCUGCCACUGUGUACUCUCUGUUUAGGGUCAGUCACAGUGGUCAGGUAUUCUGCCACUGUGUUCUCUCUGUUUAGGGUCAGUCACAGUGCUCAGGUAUUCUGCCACUCUCUGUUUAGGGUCAGUCACAGUGGUCAGGUAUUCUGCCACUGUGUUCUCUCUGUUUAGGGUCAGUCACAGUGCUCAGGUAUUCUGCCACUGUGUUCUCUCUGUGUAGGGCCAAAUAGCAUUCCAGUUUGCUCUGUUUUUUGGUCAUUUCUUUCCAAUGUGUCAAGUAAUUAUCUUUUAGUUUUCUCAUGAUUUGGUUGGGUCUAAUUGUGUUGUUGUCCUGGGGCUCUGUGGGGUGUGUUUGUGUUUGUGAACAGAGCCCCAGGACCAGCUUGCUUAGGGGACUCUUCUCCAGGUUCAUCUCUCUGUAGGUGAUGGCUUUGUUCUGGAAGGUUAUAGAAUUUAAUAACGGUCCUUUUCUGGAUUUUGAUAAUUAGCGGGUAUCGGCCUUAUUCUGCUCUGCAUUAUUUGGUGUUCUACGUUGUACACGGAGGAUAUUUUUGCAGAAUUCUGCGUGCAGAGUCUCAAUUUGGUGUUUGUCCCAUUUUGUGAAGUCUUGGUUGGUGAGCGGACCCCAGACCUCGCAACCAUAAAGGGCAAUGGGCUCUAUGACUGAUUCAAUUAUUUUUAGCCAGAUCCUAAUUACAUUGGUAUGUCGAAAUGUAUGUUCCUUUUGAUGGCAUAGAAGGCCCUUCUUGCCUUGUCUCUCAGAUUGUUCACAGCUUUGUGGAAGUUACCUGUGGCGCUGAUGUUUAGGCCAAGGUAUGUAUAGUUUUCUGUGUGCUCUAGGGCAACAAUGUCUAGAUGGAAUUUGUGGUCCUGGUGACUGGCCCUUUUUUGGAACACCAUUAUUUUGGUCUUACUGAGAUUUACUGUCAGGGUCCAGGUCUGACAGAAUCUGUGCAUAAGAUCUAGGUGCUGUUGUAGGCCCUCCUUGGUUGGUGACAGAAGCACCAGAUCAUCAGCAAACAGCAGACAUUUGACU